GGAAUCUUCGGCAAUGGGGGCAGCCCUGACCGAGCAACGCCGCGUGAGUGAAGAAGGUUUUCGGAUCGUAAAGCUCUGUUGUAAGAGAAGAACGUGUGUGAGAGUGGAAAGUUCACACAGUGACGGUAACUUACCAGAAAGGGACGGCUAACUACGUGCCAG
rnacentral:rRNA from 1 species